CCAAGGAGUCUAACAUGUACGCGAGUCGUCGAGUCGCAACGAAACUCGUGAGGCGCAAUGAAAGUAAAGUGUCCCCGACGAGGGUGUGCACGAGGGGAGAUGCCGUCUUUAUACAAACCGAAGCGGCCGCAUCCCGUGGGCGUUCGGAACCGCGAUCAGUCGGCCGAACGAACCAAGAGCGUACACGUUGGGACCCGAAAGAUGGUGACCUAUGCCUGGCCAGGUCGAAGCCAGGGGAAACCCUGGUGGAGGACCGCAGCGAUUCUGACGUGCAAAUCGAUCGUCGGAGUUGGGUAUAGGGGCGAAAGACUAAUCGAACCAUCUAGUAGCUGGUUCCCCCCGAAGUUUCCCUCAGGAUAGCUGGUGCUCGCAUGGAAAACGAACGGAGUUUCAUCCGGUAAAGCGAAUGAUUAGAGGCCUUGGGGUCGAAACGACCUCAACCUAUUCUCAAACUUUCAAUGGGUGAGAAGCCCGGCCUUUCACUUGAGUGAGGCCGUCGGCAUUUCGAAUCUGAGCGCCCAGUGGGCCAUUUUUGGUAAGCAGAACUGGCGCUGUGGGAUGAACCAAACGCCCGGUUAAGGCGCCAAAACGACGCACAUUUCGGAUCCCACGAAAAGGAGUUGGUUGCUAAAGACAGCAGGACGGUGGCCAUGGAGGUCGGAAUCCGCUCAGGAGUGUGUAACAACUCACCUGCCGAAGCAACUAGCCCUUAAAAUGGGAGGCGCUAUAGCGUCGUGCCUAUACCGGGCCGCCGGUCGGCAGAGCAGAACGCGGUUUCGUACCGCGCUGAGGCCCCGGUGAGUAGGGGGGUCGCGACGGUGAGCGUGGAAGGGUUGUGGGCGUGAGCCUGCCCGGAGCCGCCGUCGGUGCAGAUCUUGGUGGUAGUAGCAAAUACUCCAGAGG
rnacentral:rRNA from 1 species